ACUUCACAUCUAAUUAACACAUCUUUUAUUUUGCUUCCCUCAGCUAGUCUUCAAACAUACUAAUUUGUAGGUUUAAUACUUCAUUUGUUAGUACAAGGGGAAAUGCAGAAGGGAUGAACUCUCUUGUGUUGGUAGCAUGCCCAAGUCAUGCAAUUUUUAAUACUGUUAAAACAGGUUGUUAGGUGGUAUAUUCCACCUCCAGGGCUCACCUGCCUGGCUGCUCAACAUGCUGCUAAUCUUUUUUAGUCAGGUGUGUGAGCAAAACUCUGGUAAGGUUGACAGGUUGCAUGAAGCAGAUAGCUCAGUGUUACUGUUAGGUAGCAACUAGCAAUAUCUACCCAAAUGGUUUUGGCACAUCACUUUGUAGCCAGCCUUCAAGAUGUUGAAAGCAGAGCUCUUUGCCAGAUCUUGGUGGUGUUGUUAGUUACUCACUCUGUACCAGUUCCUUUGCUACUUAUCAUGCAGUACAAGUCUCUAAGUCAGUAGGUCAGCAACAUUAUUGAAAUAUCAGGUAUUACUCUCUACUAGUGCUAGUCAUCGUUCACUUCUGUUGAGUAAUUAAUUUGUGAAAGAAGAAGCAGUUCCAAAGAGCACUUUAUGUCAAACUGAGGUCACCUCUCACAGUGUACUCUGAAACAAGGAAAAUACACAAGCAGUUCUGAACUGAACAUAAGAAGUAAGGCAACCGCAGGAUUUGCCAGUUCCUGAUAGCUUGGAGAAAUGUCUUAUCAACCCAAGCAUCGACCAGGACCACAACAAUAAAAAAGCCACAUGACCUGGAAGGCUUAAACUUCAUCCUCUCCAAGAACUGCACUACAUUAUCUGCAUGUUGUGGCUCAUUCCACGGAGCUGAAACCUCUGUAGCUCGGCAAUGAGGAAUAAAGGACGCUGGAGGAAGAAGCAGAGAGUGCAUUUCAUUCAACAGAUGCACAGUCUUCCUAGCAGAAGGAGGAGAAGGAGUCCAGUGGCAGACAGGCAACUUCCAAGGAUCUGCAGCUACUCCCCAACAGCCACAAGCCUGUUACAGACUAUCUCCAGGAGAGAGAAAUUCAGGUUACUGAUACUCGACGGAUGAAAAACUGAAACAAACACCACUCAAGGGACUGAAUUUCUUUUGCAUGCCGUAUGUAUGGGGCUAAGGAAGAUGGCAUGACUGCUUGCUGUAGUUGUCGAAGCCCAGAGGAAGAAACAAAGAAGAAAAAAGCCAAUGAAAUAAGGAGUACAGAAGGUCAGAAGGAAGAAAACAAGUGGUGGUAGAAGCACAGUGACCACAAUGAAUCACCGCGUUUCCAACUGUGAUAGAGACUGUUUGCAGUCUGUACAAGCAGCUCCUCACAAACAGCAGCCUCUACUUGUUUGAAAUAUCAAAACAGACUAUUUCACUCAACUGACUUCAUUUCUUCAGCAUCAGCUCCCCACUACUGUUCCCCCAUAGGGGCUAACACAGUCCUCUGUGGGAGUGACUGGCUGAGCCAAACCACUCAAACUCACAGCUUGUGGUCCUUAAGUCAUCACUGUACCACAUUCCCAUGAACGUCCACAAUAUCUUCAGCAAUAGUUCCUGUCAUUCUCCUGUGCAGGUAGCAGUAAGAACCAAGAAACGACUUGAUGAAAGGCAACUGAAACUUUAUUCUUCUCUCGCUUAAAGUGCUGCUGUAAGCCUUGGUCAGUAUGAUAUUCCUGCUUUUGCUGUCUCAGUUGUGAUCUGGAAAUAGAAGAUAGUAGGCUGCCUUCCUUCUCUUGUGCUAUUUUGGGAGCAGCUACUGCCACUAGUUAGAGUUUCCUUGUAUGAAGGAGUCUAAAGCAUCUAGUUAUUUCAGAGAUUGGCUUUUGAGUGCGAAUAUUGGGCUGUAAGAGAAGGAAUUCAAGAUGAUAAACCUGUCUCUGCAUACUAUUGAAAUCUUAAUAAACUACCAGCUUGACAGA